GGCUUGAUAGUCAAAAGUAAUGAUGUUAAAUUGCAAAUUUAAAGGUAAAUAGUUUUUCAAGCCU
rnacentral:tRNA from 1 species